UACAGGGGGGUGCAAACGUUGCUCGGAAUCAUUGGGCGUAAAGCGCACGUAGGCGGUUCGUUAUGUCGGAUGUGAAAGCCCUUGGCUUAACCGAGGAAGUGCAUCCGAAACUGGCGAGCUAGAGUACGAAAGAGGAUCGCGGAAUUCCCGGUGUAGAGGUGAAAUUCGUAGAUAUCGGGGAGGAACACCGGUGGCGAAGGCGGCGAUCUGGGUCGAUACUGACGCUGAGGUGCGAAAGCGUGGGGAGCAAACAGG
rnacentral:rRNA from 1 species